rnacentral:ncRNA from 1 species
ACGGUGCCUUUGAUGAAUGGAUCAGAGGGUAAAAGGGAAACAGGUGAAAGUCCUGUACGAUCUCGUCACUGUAAUGGGGGAGCAGGAAGCAAUUGUGCAUCUGCACAGUCACUGACAAUUUGUUGGGAAGGCUGCUUUUUGUGAAGAGCCCGUAGUCAGGAAACCUGCCGUUUAUU